UCCACGCUGCUGCCCUUUGCAAUCACACACCCGGAUCCACGGCCCAUAUUGAGAAUCCAGGCGCCACAGACAUUAUUUAAUCGCAUUGGAAAGGGAAUCUUGGAACAGAAAGUGUGACAAAGGGAGCCUAGGGGAGACAAAACGACUCAAAAUCUGAGUACUCACUGUGUGCAAAGCUUUACAUUUCCCAUGGCAUGUAUCAUUAUCAGGGACCCUAGGCACCUAACUGUGAAUGGACAUCUACCCCUGUCUCUGGCACCUCCACCUACAACUCCUUCAAAGACUCCUCAAGUUGAUCUAUUAUUUCAACAAGACAGCAUUGAUACUGAGAAGUCCUAGGAAUAAGCCUUCCCAUUGCUGUGAAACCACACUACCUGACUGAAGGGCUGGUCAUCAGUGCAUUCUUCUGAUUGAUUUAUGACCAAAAGGGAGACUUGUGGAAGCAAAAUCGCUGCUGUAAUAAAUCAUAAAUACCUAACUGUGCAGGUCAUGGUGGGUGGUCACCCCCCAAGUCUAUAAAAAGGUUUAUCUUUGUCUUAAACAAGCCCUGACCAUUUUUCUUGUGCAUCUAAACCAAUACACCUUUGAAAUGCCAGAGUAAUUCUCUUUUCAGACUCUUUAGAGGGAGGUGUAACCACCCCCAAGGGAGCACAUAAUCUUGUCAACUAUCCUUGCUUUCUGCCCCCUUCAUGUCGUCUUCCUUACAUUCCCCUGAAUUUUAAAUGUGUAAAAACGCCUGCAAAACUGUCAUUCU